rnacentral:lncRNA from 1 species
GAGAGGGCGGUGCCACCCUGGCGAGGUUUUGCAAUAAUUGCCAAUAUUAAGUACUUUAUUAAAGGCGUCCCACAAAUUCCAAAGAAUGUGAUUUGUUAUCAAGUCAAUUAUGUUGUUUUAAUUUUUAUAAAAUUUUUUAAUUUUAAUUUUAAUACAAAUAAUAUUAGAAGAGGAAUAUGAACCGACCUCGACCUCGAUCUCGACCUCGAGUACAA